GGCGAACGCUGGCGGCAUGCCUAACACGUGCAAGUCGAACGGACGCGAGGAGCUUGCUCCUCAAGUUAGUGGCGGACGGGUGAGUAAUGCGUGGGAAUCUGCCCUUGGGUUCGGAAUAACUCGCCGAAAGGCGUGCUAAUACCGGAUGAUGACGUAAGACCAAAGAUUUAUCGCCCAGGGAUGAGCCCGCGUAAGAUUAGGUAGUUGGUGAGGUAAAGGCUCACCAAGCCGACGAUCUUUAGCUGGUCUGAGAGGAUGAUCAGCCACACUGGGACUGAGACACGGCCCAG
rnacentral:rRNA from 1 species